UUUGACAUCUGACCUCAAAUCAGGUAGGACUACCCGCUGAACUUAAGCAUAUCAAUAAGCGGAGGA
rnacentral:rRNA from 1 species